AUGAAUAUGAAGCUCACACUCGAGAGUGGUUUGCAAACAUGCCCGGUGUUCGGCAACCUCAUAAGGCUGGUGCUGGGCGAAUGGUGCAUGGCCUCCGACUUCUCUCCGCUGCUCUUCAUUCUCCGGCGCUCGCCUAAACUGAAGGAUCUGACCUUUAAGCUUGGAAUGGAGCAGUGUGUACUCUGCAAGGAUGCUGCUGAUCGUGAUCUGGCUCCAAGGAAGGAAUCAUCGUCGGGCGGCUGUCCAAGGAUAGAGAGGACCGUGAUAUACUGUGGCAAAGAUGAUCCGAGGGUCAGCGCGCUUGUGCAGGUGCUGCUACCGAUUGUUAUCCCAGGUGGAGAAAUCAGCAUCAAAGGUCACUAG
rnacentral:rRNA from 1 species